rnacentral:lncRNA from 1 species
CAUUAGCACCUGAGUUUUUAGAGUAUUCAGUGGGAUAUAAUUAUUGUAUCUCCUCGAUAGUGGAGCAUGCCGAUCCCUUCUCUGUGGGCUUCUUGGUCGGUGGUUCCGAGGAUAGGUCCUGUUCCUCAACUUUUGAGAUGGAGAUCUAGAGCGCUAUCGGAUUCUCUCCUCUUAACUCAGAGAGUGCUCCUUAUUUUGCUUUUCUCUUAUGAUGAAACUAGUGGGGGCUUCAUCU